AGCAUCUUAUUGAAAAAUUCUUUUACUUUCAGCAUUCAAAUAAAAAAUAGGACUCAGGAGGUAGGUUAUACCCAUCAUCAAGGAAACAUGUACCCAUGAAAUACAAAAUCAGAAGGCAUAUAACAGAAACUUCAUUUCAACAAGACAAUGUUAGAAAUAGCACUAAAUCAAUACCAUACCUAACAAAAAAUGAGCGACGCAUUGAUGAUGCAAACAGCGUCGAGUCUAAUCAAUAGAGCCAAAAAGAAGGCCUCUCAAUCAUCAGCAAACAGGACCACGAAUCUGCACAGUAGCAUUAACAUGAAGGCAGAGUCGAUGCUUAUCAUAGAUUGAGGAUUCCAUUAGAAACAAUUGUAGAAAACAUCCAUGCAGCAAUGCUAAUUUGAAUUCUUACCAUUUAAGAAAUAGAAUAUGAGAGAAGAAAAGGUGAAGGGGACUAUUGCAGGUUCGAUCCUCACCAAGAAAUUUAGACCUUAGACAAAUUGACUCGGUGAAUUACAACAACGAAGUGACAAAAGUCACUUAAAAGUAGAAAAGAAAAUGUUUUUCCAUAAAUUAUUAUAACCACAACAAUAUUAUCAAUGGGGCCAUUCGAUGGUUCAUGCAGGUGGAAUAAAAAACUGAAGUAGCAUUUCCAGUUGCAAGCUCUUGUGCAUGGCAUUGUAAUCUACCCUACAGCAGAAGGUCUGCUAAACGAGUAUGUAAAACCAUCACAAUCAGAAUCAAUGCCCAGAUGUUCCCAAAGGGCAAAGCCGCAAAGCUAUAGCACCUUUCCAUCCAGUCGUUCCAACGGAAAUGCUUAAGAAAACAAACCUUGACCAAUCUCCUUGUUCAAAAACAAAGAGGUAAGCCCCAACCAAUCUUUCUCUUCGAUCUGCUUUCCCGAGCGGUAGGUUCAUUGUCUUUUAAUCAUCUACCUACCAUUGGCGUGAUGGUCAAUUAGCUUGAGUUAUAUAGUUGGUGUUAACAAAGUUGACCAGAACUUAUCAAAGAAAAAGAGGUUUCAAAAUAUUGCUCCCUUACCAUGAAGUGUUGUUCAAAGCCAGCCUCUAAGCUAUCUAACAUAUUAAGGAAGCAUUUUUAUCAUAUUUUUACUAUAAUUAUUGGAGGCAAUGAGGCAUAUUUGACGAGAAUUGUCUGAACUCUGGAACAUAUCUCAUACCCUUAACCAAAUGUCAAAUGUAGGAUACGUACAUACAGCCAUACAGGUACUCAAAAUCAUUUUGAAGACUGCAUACAUAGGUCCGAAGAUAACGCAUCAAAUGAUUGAAGAUGAUUCUUGGGGAUUAUUUAGAAGUGGAAAGCAUUUUUUCAGAAAGUUGUAUUAUUAUGUGUAUUAUCAUCACAUAUAUUUCAUAAAAUAAAAGGGAAAAUAAAUAAAGUAAAUGGGAGAUGCAAUAAAUGAGGAUAUUUUUUGGCCAAGCAGUUUUAGAGGAUGAGGGUCCAUAGGACCAUAACCUCCAUCCUUCUAUGCCAACACCUCCUAGAACUUCAAAUCAAAAGUAGCAAAAACGUACUUUUUUAUUUUUAAAAAUUUUAAACUGAACUAGAAUGCAUUAUUAAAAUAAAAGAAAGAUAAAUUCAUGAUGAAGAAAUGUCAGAGGAUGCCAGUGAUGAUGCAAUCAAAGAAAAUAAAAUAGAGAUGUCAGAUGAGGAGGAUGCAUUCUCAUUUGGCAAUUCCAAACUGGGGCUUAAUAUGUAUCCAUAUCAGUAUGUGGGUUGGCAAUGGCUGGAACUGACAAGAAGAGUAACAAAGAUUUAAUUUAGAGCAGAAGCACCUUAAAAAAACUGACAAGAAUGGUUUACACAAAUGUACCUUCUGUCGAAAUUUAUGUCGCUAUCACAACUCAAAAUCGUAGAGAAAAUAGACUGCAACCCUCUGUUAAUGAAGACCACCUGUGGGAUGUUGGGCGCAUUAUGGUCUUGAACAAUCUCAUAAAAAACCCAAAAAAUCUUGCAGGAGAUUCAGAAAGGGCAAAUUUGGGUUAUAAUUUGCACAAUUAUAUUCAAAAGGUGAGCCAAACAAGUUUUUGGCUUGGUUUCCAUUUCUCAGAACAGUUUCCGGAAAUAGAAUGGACUAAGCUUUGGGUAACUUAUAUAGGGAGGCCAUUCAUUUUGCUGCCAUUGGAACCGCAUAAUACGUAUCAGAUUUCUACUAUGACCGGCUGUUAAUGGCAUUAUCUCCAACUAAAAGGGAUAAAAGAAAGUAACAGAAAAUGAGGGAAACAAGGUGCGCGUGGAUGCCAAUUAAAAAGUAGCACAGAAACUCAUUUCCACAGAACAUACAGUCACACAAACACACAGACACACACUCAACCGCACAUGUGAAGUCAUCACCAUUAAAUUACUGUUUAUACAAUUGAAAUACGAGUCUCACAUGUCAUAUUGAAAAUGUCAAACAAGAUAACAGAUCAUUGACAUAUUUAACAUAACUAGUUGAUUACCCGUGCAAUGCACGGGCUAGUUUGAAUAAUUGAUUUAAUAAUUUGCUGAGUUUUAGUCAAUAUUAGAGAAAAGAAUUAAAGAGAGAUACAUACCUUGAACAUUUAUUAUUAAACUGACUGUCACACUCCGUCUUUAACUGUAAAAGAAGAUUCCUUUUAAAGUAAUCAUGCCUUUUUCUUCUUUUGUAAAAACAGCCAGUAAAUUUAGUAAUUUUCACAUUCUUUACCUUAGAAAUCAUUUACUUUUUUUGCGUCAAUAGAAGCACUAUUUCCUAAUAGUAACCUUUUAGCAAGGUCCUUAUAGAAGGCUUCAAAUAUCCCUUACCCUGAAGCAAAACUAUAUAUAAAUGAAACAACUUAAAUUAUUAAUUUGAUGACAACCAAAAAUAAUUAUCAAUCUAAUAUCAUAAUGUCUAAAUGAUACUUUAAUAUAAUUAUAAUAAGCAAAAAACAAAAACACUAAAAUAAUUUCUGUUAAUCCAAGAUGAACUUUUCCCAAGAUUUUUAAGUUAGAAAGAUCUAUCUGUUUCCUUCUUGACCAUUGCCUAAGAAAAUACACUCAAAAAUUGUUGUAUUAGUUUGUAGGCUCCCUUUAUAAUUCAAAUUAACCAAACACAUCGUAUAACUAAGAAGAAGCACACCAAGAUCGAAAUCAAUCAAGAAACGGAAAUCUUAUAAUAGAUAGAUAUAUAAUUAUAGGUAAGGUAUAUGUUACUAAUAGUCGUACACUAAUUUAGUUUGUAUAUAUGUAUGUCUUUGGUAGAAACUUAAAAACUUAAGCACCCUAUUCCUAUAUCAUAAGCAAUUACAAAAUUGAAUACUUACAUAUUCAUCACUUUCUCUUAUUCUUCUCUUGUUUUCUAUUUAAUUAGUUUCUCAUCCUACAUAAGGAGCAAAAAGGAAAGAAAUUAAUCAAUGAUCAUAUCAUUCCUAAUGUUACAUUAUAAAAUUAAAUAAUGUAUGUCAAUAAAACUUAAAUCACUCCCACCUAAAAAUUGAAAGCUUUAUUUGCAUUAGAGCCCAAAAAAGCACAUAUCGAUAUGUUAUUUUUCAUCCAAUUCCACAUGAAAUAUAAAAUUAGCAUUCAUAAAUCACACUAAUGAAAGUGUAUUCAAGUAAUAUAGGCAACCAUAAUGAGUGAGAGUAGAUUGAAAAACUUUCAUCAAUACAAAGCUAGAUUGAAAUUCGAUUACAUUAAUGUUAAUAAGUAAAAUGUAAUAGCCUAACAGACAGUCAAUAAAACAAAAUGAGGCUUUUCAACAUAGACUAAUGAGAAAAUUAGGGGUUGUGAAGAGGAAAAAAGUUACUACACUUACAAAUAUAUCUUCUUUGUGGCAUUUCAACAAAUAUCUAAUGUGCAACGUCAUAUGCCAUCUCUACAUAUCCAACAUCCAAAAAUUUCAUGCUUCUUUCUGCAAUUUUCCUGAGAGCCAACAUAGGAAAUCAAUCUAUAACAAUUAAAAAUAAUUUGCAAUCUGAAAUUAUAUUUUAAACAAACUUGGCAUUGGAAAUGAAUCAGAAAGUUGAUGAAACUGAAUAGUUCAAACACUAACAUAUCCAACUGAUCAAGAUACAACCCAUACUUUUUUGAAACAGAAGAGCAUAUCAAUUAGUUUAAUGAUGUUGAAGACAAAUGAGCGGAUGAAGGGGAAACGGAAGAGCCAUACAUACAUUUGAGGAGUGUAGAUUGAUUGUUGUCCACAGUAUAUAUUUAUUUGACCGGGUGGGAGGAUGAUUAUAUACACAUUGACCAUCACCAUAAUUAACAGCUCCUUAAUCUACAUUCCUAAUACUUAUUUUCGCUCAAAAACAUAAACGUAAAAGUAAAACUCUAAUACUUAUUUUUGCUCAAAAACAUAAAUGUAAAAGCAAAACUAUAAACAUGUACUUACAAUUCUUAAAUAACAUGGAUCAAAAAAGAACUGUACUUGCUAUUUUCAAGCAAAACUUCUCAUCCUAAAAAAUGUGUUAAGAAAAUGAUUAAAAUUGAGAUCAUUCAAAUGCUUGGAAGAUACUUCUUCAGAAACAAAUUUUAAAAAAUUACAAUAAAAUUGUGAUUUGCACAUAGUAAUAAUAUAAAGUACUACCAACUUGAAUGAAUUGUAUCAAAAAUAAGGAGCCAAAAAAUAAUCAAUUUUGAACCAAGGAUUCUAAAGAAAAAUAAAAAUGUAUUAGAAUAAUGAUCGUAAAUGGUUUAAAGAGGAGAAUUUUUUUUAAAAGGGAACUAAAUUGUGGAUUGUGAUGACAACAUAUAUCCUUUUUUUGGCAUUUCACCACAUGUGCACUAUUCUAAAUAGCCAACUCAAGGUCAAAUUGGACCGACAAAAAAUAGGAUUGGGGAGGGUAAAAGGAUUACUGCUAGGGAAUGUAUGCAGAGAAAUUAACAGGUAAUAAUUAUCAAACAACACAAAUUGCAAUGAAUAAAGAGAAAAUCGCAAUAAAUCAUAUCAAGCUCUUCAACCAUGACUUUUAUCAAGCACUUACUGAGCAGAAGCUUCUCAGUUCUUCAGCUCAGCACAAUUACAAACUAUAUGGUAUAUUCGAUGGAUUUAAUUGAUGCGAAGAAAAGUGAGUACCUUUACAGAAAUUGUGGAUUUGAGAAGGGUAGAAUCACGGUUUGGGAGAGAAAAUAAAGGAGGAUGCUUAUUUGAGGGUACAGAAUAGUGAUCGAAGCCAAUGAUUUGGAACAAUUGUGUUUGAACGGAUUGUGAGACUUUUUCAAACGAUGCCAUAGAUUCUCAAACACCGAUGGAGACAGGUGUGGAUCGAGCCUCGUAGUUCAGUGGGGUGAAAUUCGAAAAAAAAAAUCCCUUAAGAAUAAAAAUUUAAUAAAAUGAAUCACAAAAUUAAAUAAUCCUCAAAUAUUGUUUACAAUAACAUUUUUUUAAGUUUCAUUGCUUGAAAUUGUUGCAUGAGAGCCUUAUUUUUAAUAGCUGCAAAAAUAUCACGCUCAGUGUAAAUUACUAAAUAGUCAUUCACUCUGUUCUAAAAAUCGGCCUAGGCGGCCGCCUAGGCGCUAGGCGGGGGCCUGGCGCCGCGCCUAAGGCCAAAUCGGUGAAAAAAGCGGGCUAGGCAGGGCCUAGGUGGAUUUUUUUUUAAAAUUAUUACCAUAACCAAAUCUUGAUAUAUUUAUUUUUCGAAUGAUUUACCAUAUUCUUAAUGCAAGUUGUAGCAUAUCAAAUCACAACAAGAAGUGAACAAGAACAAGUCAAAAUGGAUAAUUUUAUUAUAGUUGUAAUUUUUUGAACUUGUACCAACUUGAAAUUCUAUAAAUGAUGAUACAUUUGUAAUAUUUAGUUUAAUUCAAUUCAAUAUAAUUCUUAAAUUUAUGUUUAAUUUCUUAAGUUUUAACAUUGAAUUGAAUUCUUAAAAUUUUAAAUUUUAUUAUUUAAUACUACCUCCGUCUCACAAUAAGUGCUUUUUUAGGCUUAAUAUUUUUUUCCAAAAUAAGUGAUGUGUUAGAACUCCAAUACAAUUUUUACAAUAUUUUCUCAUAUAUGCCCUUAUGCAUUCAAUGGUAUUUAUUGCAUCUUUCAAUCACUACAAUUAAAUGACACUCAUUAACUCUUCAACUUCAAAGAAAAUAUAUUAAGAGUAUUUUUGUCAUUUUAACUUGUGUAUUGGUAUGUGUGAUUUAAGCUAAAAAAACACUUAUUAUGGGAUGGAGGUAGUACCAAUUUUGUUUAUGAAUAAAACUAAUACGUCAAAGAUAUGUUAGGGUGUGUUUGAUUAGCUCUUAACGCCUCUUAAUUGGAGUGUCUCUGAUUCGGUCAGAGGCAAAACAUGUUUGGUAAAAAAAAAAUUGCCUCUUAAUCGGUUAGACACAAAAUUAAAACUUAACCAUUUAGAGGCACAUCUGAAUGAGUUUAUAUUUUCCCCUUUUAAUAUUCAAAACAAUAUGAUGGAUCUCUUUGAACGAAAUAUAAGGAUGGUGAUAAUGAAGAGAGAGAAAAAGAGUUGUUCUUUUUUUGUUUUAUUUUUAUAUAUUUUUUUCUUUUGUUCAAAAGGAUAAAAUGGUAAAAUAUUAUUAUUCAGACAUUUUGAAAAAAGAAAUUAUCAAACAACAUUUUUUCAUUCAGAUACAAUUCUAUUCAGAUGCUCUAUAUUAUUCAGACGUCUAAACUGUUCAGGUCUUAACACUCAGUUUUAUCAAACACCACCCUUAGUCAUACUUAGUAUAUGGUAUUUAUCAUUUUCUUCAAGUCCUCAAUUUUGAAAAUUACACAAAUUAAAAUAAUUUCAUAAUUAAUAAUAUGAAAUGUCUCAUUCAAUAAACUUCACACUAAUUUUUAAAAAUAACAUUUAUUUAAAUUUUUAAGAGUAAAGAAGUACGUAUAUAAUUAUAUAUAUGAAGAUAUCAAGAUACUUCUUACUAGUUACUACUUACUAGUAACACUAAUUCUAUAAUUUAAUUAUUUCAAGCAAUGAAUAUAUAUCUUACUACUUAAGUGCAAUUACUACUAAUUCUAUAAUUUAAUUAUUAUCUUUAUUAUAGAUUAUUUUGCUUUAUAUUAUUGUUUUGUUAGAAUAAUAUAAGAUAAAAUAUUAAAAUUGUCUUAAAAUAAAAAAUCCCGCCUAGGCCCCCCAGGCGCUAGGCCCCCGCUGGCCGCCCGCCUCCCGCCUUUUAGAACAUUGGUCAUUCAUCUAUUCAUCUCUCAUUUGGUUACGGAAUUCAUUCUUCACGAUAUUCAUGGCUGAAAAUGUUCUUUCAACAGUUGCAGUAGCAACGGACAAAAAUAGAGCCAACAAAUAGACUUGGGGAUACACAUCAUCCUUUCUUUUCUUAACCAACAUUUGAGUCAAUUCACCAAUUCAUUUUAUACUCGAAAAAUUAGAAUCGUUUCUCAUAUCCACAAUAUAAUUUUGGAGUUGACCAUCAAGUGCCAAAAGUUCGAUAUCAUCAAAUUCUGAAGGGUAAAGUUUCGAAAAUUCAAUUAAUUUUUUAUUGCCAAAUGCCGAGAAAGAGUUACGUGGGUCAAGACAUGCUAUACUUGAAAGUAUCUCUGCAUUUGUAUUAUCAAAACAAUCAUUCAACUCCCUAAAUAGACUAUCAAUCACAGUGAAAAAUAAUUGAACCCUAAAGCGAUGAAGGUUUGUGAUUUCUUUAAUAUUGCGUCGUGGUCUCCCUUGAAACACAAAAAUAUCCUCUAUCCUCGGGACAACUAUGCUAUGCAAUGCACAAAAUUCACAAGUUUCCGCUAACAAAUCAUCUCAGUUUGCUCUCAUGCAUUGUUAUCGUUGCUUGGUUACAUUGACUAGAGCUAUGGCAUUUACAAUGUCUUGAUCUUUCUUCCGUAAGGCUUGUGAUAAGUCAUUUGUAAUUCCCAUGACUCCUUUCAAUAAGUGUAACAAGAACACAAACUCAAAAUUAUACAUGAAUUUCAAAAGUGUACUAGCUUCUGUACUUUUCUCCCCUUCGACAUCAUCUGCUAUAAACUCAAGCACAUCCAUUAUUGGAGAAAACAAGGUAAUAACACUCAAAGUUGUUUUAAACUGUGAACUCCAACGCGUUUCUCCAAGCCGUUUUAAUGUUGUUUCUUGAUUCAAACCUCGUCAACUCAUGAUUUCGCCACUAACAACUCCUUCAGCUACUUUUUGAAAUUGCUUCAAUCGGAGAAUUUCUUUUUGCUUGCAAGAAGCCCUAACAACAUUUGCUAACAAUCCAAGAUAAUCAAAGAAAGAACAUAAUGACUUGUGUUUCUUAGCAACCGCAACAAGUGUCAACUGAAGCUGAUGUCCAAAACAAUGAAUAUAGAAAGGAUUUGGAUUUUCAAUAAUAUUAAACUCUUACAGACCUUUAAACUUCCCUGACAUAUUGCUAGCUCCAUCAUAACCUUGGCCACACACAUGUGACACGCUCAAUCCAUGUUUAGAAAAAAGUUUAUCAAUAGCAGUUUUUAGUAUCAAAGCGGAAGUUUCAGGAACAUGAAUAAUGGCAAGAAAUCGCUCAAUGAUACAACCAUACAUGUCCACAUAUCGUAAAACCAUUGUCAUUUGUUCUUUGAUUGAUGUAUCACAAGCCUUGUCAACCAACAAAGAAAAAAACCCAGCCCCAAUUUCUUUAAUGAUAGCUUGUGUAAUCAAAAAUGCAGCGACUCUACAAAUAUCUUUUUGGAUUGAGGGUGAAAUCAAUUUAUGAUUUUAUGGAGCGUUUUUUAGGACAACUUUAUGCACCUCAUCAUUGUUUUCCAAAAGAAACUCUAACUAAGAAAUAAAUAGCCCUCGUUUUCUUGAACCCUCUGACUCAUCGUGACCACGAAAAGGCAAUCCUUCUUUUGAAAGAAACCUAACACAUUUAACUGAUGCGAACAAUCGAAGGUAAAUCAAUCAUUUGUUGCUCAGUUAUAUUAGCAAGAUUGAUAUCUAUGGGUUGAGGCUGAUUCAUUAAAUCACGACACGCCUAUUCACAUUUACGAUAAACAUUACCAUGAUCUCCAACAUGUAUUUCCAAUCUAUCCAUCUUCUUCAAAUUUCUAAAUUCCUCACCAACAAAUGCAUCCCCACCACCUUGGUUACCAUGAUCAAUUUUAAAUAGGUAACAACACAAAUAAAACAGAGCAUCUUCACUCAAACUAUAUUCCAAUCAACUUGGAUAUUUCUUAUACCAUUUUUUGUUGAAUUUACGAGCAACUCCACUAAUUAUUGUAUCAGGAAAUUUGUGAGGUAUUGGUUGAGUCGGGCCCCUGAGUAAAUAACUUCUUCGAAAAUUCUCUUUCACUAGCGGGAUAAGAACUUAUUGCCGUAUUGGUGGUCUUUUACCAGGAUCCCCCACAAUAUUAAGGGAAGGAGAUACCAAUGUAUAGGUUUGGAACUGGAUAUUUUGGGCAAAAGAUUCUAGUACUUAGGUUUGGGGAUUAACAUUUUGCAGGUGAGUCUAUUGGUGAAUAUCAACAAUGACAGGUUCGUCACUAGUCCUUUCGGCUUGGACAUUUUAAGGAAUAGAUUCAAAUUUUGUACGUUUAGUUGUUGUAACUCAAUUACGUAUGUUCAUGCCUAACAAUCAAUAAAUAUUUAAAAACUAAUUCAACAUCGAAACAAGAUCAAUAUACAAUAUGAAUAGUCAAGUGUAAUAAACAUCAACAAUAAACAAUCUCAAUUAAACCACUAACAAGUAACAUAACAAAUAAAUUACAAAAUUUAAAGAAAGUAAAAAUAGAAUAGAACACAUACUUGAAGAACUUGUAUUUGAUAGAGUUCUCUUCAUUGUUGCAGUGUUCCUUUAAGAAGUAAAAAAUCCUAAUUUUAUAAAAGUACAAAAAAGAAGAAUCUAUAAACAAUUACAAAAAUUCCUAAAGCAAUUGUUAAAUUUAUGAAAUUAAACAACUAAAAUUAAAAUAUACCUGAAUAAGAAAUUUCUCAAAAGUCGAGAGAUACGUGGAAUGUAGUUUUGGAAGAAUCGAACGAGGUCAACGAGCCAAGUCACAAAAAAUAGUUGCAGAUCGUGAUUGCCUAUUUGCCUCAUUUGAAUUUGGAGACUUGGUCCACUUGGAGUUGCUCUGUUGCGAUUGCGAAUUUGGAGACUUGGUCCACUUGGAGUUGCUCUGUUGCAAUUGCGAAUUUGGAGACUUAGAGACUUGGAGUUGCUAUUACUCUGCUGCUCACUUGCUCUGUUGCUGAACAUAUUGAACUGAAGUACUAAGAUUCUAAGACUACUAGUGGAGUAGUGGGAUUGGUCCAUACCGUCCAUUGGAUUUAGAAUUUAACUUUAGGAAGUCUAAUAGUUUUUUAAGUAUAAAACAUAACAAUUUCAUUUCACACCCUCCUGAAAUAUAUUUUUUUAGGUUUAACCCCUGAAAUUUCAGUGGGGUCAGGUGCCCCCCUGCCCCAGGCGUGGAUCCGCCCCUGGAUGGAGAGAACCAAAAUCUCUCUCGACACUGCAAAGGAGGAGGUGAAUUGAGAGAUCGACACCGGUAAGGAGGAGGUUGGUUUUGUUGUGUGGAUGUGGGUAUUCAGAUUAACGAUUGGAUAAACAGUAUAAUAUCAAUGUAUAAAGCACAUUUUUGUAAGUAUUUUAAUGAGGAAGGUGAAGAGUAUUGAACCGUUUUGACAGAGGUUACAAAGAAACUAGAAGCGAAAGAGGAAGAGGAGGGAAGUGGAAGAGGAGGUGAAAAUCCGAAAAGACUCAACGAUUAAUUUUGCAAGCCAACUGAGUUAUCAACCAAGACAACUGAGUGAUUUUUCCAUUUGGAAGGAUCACUUACGUGUUUUUAUAUAUAGGUAUUGAUGUGGGAGGUUUAGAAUCAUUGAUCAUUAUAGUAAAAUAAAAUAAAACAAAGAAUAGAAAGAAAAGAAAAUAACUAAGAAAUAUUUUUGUAGUUCUGAUUAACCUUUACCAACCACUUAAAUAUAGGUGGUUUUUUAUCUAGUAACUUUUGAGCUUAGCUCUUAUUUAAUUUUCCCAACUGAUUAAUUAUGUCAUUGCCACUAGAAAAUCAGAAAAGAAAGAUUAAAAUAAUAAAAACAAACAAUCUCCAAGCUCGUAACUUUUGUGAACCCUAGUUGCUCACCCAAUGAACCCAUUGUGAGAUAAUUUUUGCACAGAUAUAGUACUCCCAUUGUCCAAUACAAGCUCUUUUUUUAGAAUCUGCGUCAUAAUUUUUAGGACAUUCCGAAAUCAUAUUUAGGUAUUAUAUAUUUUAAUGUAUACAAAUGUUAUAUAUUUAAUUAUAUUUUAAAUAUAUACUAUUCAAAUAUACUUUUGUCAUGUCUAGAAAUCUGUGCACCACACUCUAAAAAAAGGAGUUGCUAAUAAUGUGGAGCGGAGAGUAUAAAAUUUGCAUCAAAACAUAAUCCUUUAGGAAUAUAGAACACAAUUGUCUGAAUCCAUAUGAACAUGUUACAAUAAGAAAAGGUAAUCACUGCACAGGUUUACAAAUGUUGCAAGAUAUUUUACAAAGUAAUUUAGCAAGUAAAUUUUUAGAGUAAUUUAAAAAAUAAAUUGGAAAUUGAAUGCAUGAAAUUUACUAAAGCUUUUGAUAGAAUACAUCCAAUAGGCUAUUGAGUUUGAGCAUACCAGUGUUUGGCCUCUCAAACCCUGUAACUAAUUGGAGAAAACGCUUUAAUACAAGAUGGCAGGAAGUGAGGCCUUAGGUUUUGAUGGGGACGGGAGUUUUGGGACAAAGGGUUAAUAUCACACACAUAAUUCUCACGCAAAACUCAAUCAAUUAAUCAUUCAAUAUAUCAAAAUAAUGAAAUACAUCACUAUUUAUAACACUCCUACACAACUUUCCUAACCUAACUUGAACUCUAAUAAGAUAACUACAAAUAAAAGAAACUAAUUAAAAUACAACUUCUAUUUCAUAGGCUUCCAAAGUCUCUUUAUAUUGUUCCAACCAACUUUCACGGGCUCAUCCUACAUCAUUUCUCCUCCGCUGAAAAAAACACGACUCCGUCGAGUUAUGAACAUCAACACAAGAACAAUCACGUCGAAUCACAAAGGAAGUCUUCGUAAGCUUCAAAUUUGGCAUGUCAAGAGCGCAUGUAAGAGUGAAUCUGGUAUUGCCUUUGAUAAUCGAAUAGAUAUUAGCAUGAACAUCAUGUUGCGCAUGACGAUCCUAUAGCCAUUUACGCCCCAAGAUAAUGUGACAAACUUUUAGGGGUAGAACAUCAUACUUAACGGUAUCCUUAAAUUUGCCAACGGAAAAUGUAACCAUACACCUCUGGGUAACCCGCAACUUUGUAUUGGUAAUCCAUGCAACAUCAUACGGCUCUGGGUGAGGUUCAACUUUUAACCCAAGUUUCUUAACUGCUUCCUCAGAAAUAACAUCCGUACAACUCCCAGUAUCAAUCACAAGAGAGCACACCUGUCCCGCACAUAUGACUCUCAUCUGAAAAAUUCGCCCACGAUGAAUUUUAGAAUCAUCCUUUUGUUGUUAGGCAACAAGUAAAGGUCGAAGAACACCUAAGCAUCAUUCCAAAUGAGCAUCAGCUUCUAAAUCUUGCUCAUCGAGCUUAUAUUCGCCGUCUAUCAGCUUGCAAACCUCCUCGUUUAAGUCGGUUUUUCCGCACGUUUUGUCAACAAUAGCAAGUUACCUAGAGGGAGAAUAGGAAACAUUCAUCUUUGGGGAAGGACACUCAAAAGAUGUGACCAAAACCAUGACAGUUAUAGCACCUAUAUGAAUUGUUGUUGCUAGCAUUAGAAGAACUUAGGGUACGGUUAGGCCUGCUAGUAGUUGGAGGACUUGUUGACGAUCUUUCCAUUGACCUAUUUAAAACAGGCUCCACAAAAGUACGCUCCCUCCGAGUUUGGACUUGUAUUGGAGGUCUAACAUAAUUUCUUUACAAAUUAUCCUCUAUUUGGGUGGCAACUUGAACAGCAUCAUCAAAAAGCAAAAGUUUACCUGUAGCUACACCACCUGCAAUCUCUAGAUUCAAUCCACGACGGUACAUGGAGAUUAAAACUUCUUCGACUCAAGGAAAUUCAGACCGUGUAACCAAACUAUAGAACAUUGAAAUAUACUCGGCUACAGAUUUACUUCCUUGUACCAAUUCAGUUAACUGCAAAUAUGUUGCUUAUAAUCCGAAGGUACAAAACGUUGUGUCAUUGCAGCUUUCAUAUCCUCCCAUCUUCUCGCAACUGUAUACAAAUUUCGUUGAUGUUGAUCCCACCAAAUCCGAGCUGUUCCUUUCAACUUCGCUUCAGCAAAGAAAAAUUUUCUUUCGUCGGAUAAUUCAUACCAAUGAAAGAAGUUCUCCAAACUAUGAAUCCAAUCGAAGAAUAUCUCGGGACCAUUAUCGCAAUUGAAAUCUCCAACAUCUAAUUUUGCUCCUCUAUCCACUGCAUUCAUCCUAGGAUCUGGAGCAUUAACUCGUGGAUUAGGGUCAUGCUGUUGUAGUCUCCGAUGAUGAAGAUCCGGAAUGGAGUCUUCAAAAUUCUUAAGAGCAUCUUCUUGUCCCUUAUCUACGAGUUCCGUGAGUACAUCAACUUUUACUGUAAGUGUUGUAAUAGAGGCCUGAACAUUUGCAAUUAGUGUUGUGAUUGAAUCUUCAAUUAUCAAUCCACCAUUAACCAUAGUUCCUGUGAAUACAAAUAUAAACUAUUUUUUUUUCUAGGGACUCAAGUGCAGGAGAUGUAAAAAAAACAAAACAGGGGCUGAACUGAAACUGUUGAAACUUUAGGGGAUGAAAUAAAAGAAAGUGAAACUAUAGGGGCUGAUAUGUAAAAUUUCAGGGGCUAUUUUGAAAUUUAAGAAAACUCUGGGAACUAAACUAAAAAAUUAUAAAAACUAUGAGGUACCUAACUCUAAUUAUCCAGAAGAUAUUUUUCCAAAAACAGAGACGGAAGGAAGACAACUUCACAGAGAGACGAAAAAGAGAGGGAAAAAAAAAUAAAACCCUUAAAGGUAAUAUAAGGCUGCAAGAGGAGGAGGCGGCAGCAAGAGGAGGCGGAGCCCGGCCGAUCUAAUCCUACUUCUUCUCCUUUUUUAUUCUUUUUAUUUUUGUUUUGGAACAGCAAAGAGUGUGCUGAGUAUAGGUUUUGACAAUGUGUUUGGGAUAAUACUUGGCCUGGUUAAUAGAUUGAGUAGAUUGAUACGGCUUGGUUUUGUAUUCAAGGCAGAGGUGUUGAUGAUGAUGGGACAAUGAAUUUGGGACAGAGGCUGGGGUGGCAGAAGGUGGUUUUGAGAUUUUGGCUCUGAUACCAAAAUGAUGGGGACGGGGGUUUUGGGACAAAGGGUUAAUAUCACACACAUAAUUCUCACGCAAAACUCAAUCAAUUAAUCAUUCAAUAUAUCAAAAUAAUGAAGUACUAUACAUCACUAUUUAUAACACUCCUACACAACUUUCCUAACCUAACUUGAACUCUAGUAAGAUAACUACAAAUAAAAGAAAUUAAUUAAAAUACAACUUCUAUUUCAUAGGCUUCCAAAGUCUCUUAUAUAUUGUUCUAACCAAGUUUCACGGGCUCGUCCUACAUCAGGUUUGGCAUUAUACCAUAUGGGGAUUUGAGUACUUGAGACUGGACACAAAUCGAAGCAGGCUAACAUUAGGGAAAAUGAAAUUUUGUUACCUCUAGAAUUCAGCAUAAUACACUUUAAGUCAUGAAGAGAUCCCAGGCCAAACUUAGCAAGACUAAAUAAAGAGCAGCCAACAGUAAGAAAACUGCAACUUUCAUUCCAAUAAACACCUGUGCAUUAUCACAAAUAAUUAGCCAAGAAAAAUAUGGAUAUAAUGCAAUACCAAUAUAUCAAAAGUUGUAUACAGAUGAAUACGCAUGGAAUGCGGAGCUCAUGUGAAGUCUGGAAUCCCUUAAUAGGGCCAAUAUCAAGAUCCAAAGCAAGAGCAUUCAUUGGAAAAGAUGAGCAUUAAAAUACAAAACAAAGUCACUAUCGAAAUGUUCAAUGCAAUGCAUGUUAACCUUGACACAAGUUAGAUGGUAUUGCACGUUUAUCUUAGUCCAAGAAAAAAGUAACUGAAGUCCAUGAAUUCCAGUUUGGAGUCCGUCAUUCAAAAAGAACAAAUAAAAUUACGUAACUCUAAACCAUCUUGUUUGUUGCCUAACACUCUUCCUUACAUGUUGAAAAGAUUUUGCUAACUGAAUAUUAUUAGAAGAGGGAAAGUAAAGACCAGGCCUAAGUAAAUAUGUAAGAGAUUCCACUGCUUGCAGAAACUUUCUUUCAUCUGACCACCAUGAAGGCAUGAACAUGAUAAUGUACUGGUCAAGAUUUUUUGUAAGCUUUAGAAUUCAAUGAACCAAUUUUCAUAUUUCAAAACAACCCCAGAAGGUUAUGUUAUAAACAAAUGGAUUAGUAAAUAUAUAUGGAGCUCUAGCUGCCUUCUUGUCUGUUACACUCACUUGAUUUUAGAGCUAUGUUAUUCGCAUUCGAAUCGAGUGUCUGGUUGGAUGAGGUAGUUUGAAGUGUCCGACAUGGGACUCCCAAUUUUGCCAAUUUUUUACACUAAAAUGAAGUGUCCAGUACCCACACCCUUGUCCAAGUGUCGAGUGUCGGACGCGGGUACUUUAUGGAAAGUGAAGAGUUUAUGUUACAUAGUGUUAGAGCAAAAAACGAAUAAAAGUACAACAUGAUAAGAUAGACAAUAUGAAAUUCCUGAAAGGAAAGAUCUUGACAUCCUUAGAUUUACCAAGACCUUUAUAUGUUAUAUGAAGCACAAUCUCAAAAAGAAAAGGCUUUAGACCCAAUCCUCCACCACAAUUAAUCCCAAAAAAAUAUGUCCGCAACCUCUUGCAACUGAGGAAUAAUUAACAAAUCACCACUCCUUCCUUUUUCUACUGUUAUACUUCUUUUUCUAGAUUGAGAUAGAGCAAUAUCCAAUAUUCCUACUCCCUCCUUCCGAAAUUGAGAGUCCAACUUUCAUUUUCAGGAUGUUCAGAAACUAGAGUCCACAUUCCUAAUAAAUGCACCAAAUCACAUUAUAUUUAAGAGGUUUUAAUCUUAACCAUUUAUUAUACUUAGCAAAUUUCCUGAAAAAGUUUGACUUCCUAGGUGGACUCUUAUUUGGACAGAGGGAGUACAAUGUAAGAAUUCUCAAUCACAUGUUAGCAGUAGUUGGAGAAGUGUCAGAUCAAGGAUUGAAAAUUAUGUAUGUCAAGUUAUAAACUAAUGUCUUUGUCUUCCUUGUGUUUAGUAAGAUUCCCUUCCUUGUAGGAGUUGGUACUUCUUACCUGAUAAUUGCUUUUAGGAUAUAAUAUGGUUGCAUAAUUACAUAACUGAAAGAGUUCAAAUAACGGCUUGGACUAGAACAUAACUGAUAAUGGAAUUGUUUUAUAUAUAUAAAUGCUGCCGUCAUGUACAACAGACUAUUAGAUUAGGUCAAAGGUAGCAGCUUUUCAUACUGCAAGAGGAUGCUCCAGAAAUGAUGCUACAGCUUAAUCACCAGGUUUAUGUAUCGAUAACAAAAACUGAUCAGCAGCAACGCUAAUACCGUAUUUCAGCAGUAUUUGUUGCACCUUGAAAGCUGCAGUUUCAAAAGGAUUCUGAACCCAUUUUUUCUCGUAGCCAAGAAUGAGUGCCUGGUAAGUAACAUCGUUUGGAACUAUACCAUGUUUAACCAUCAUAUUAACCAACUGGCACGCAUCAUCAACACUGCCUACACUACAAAAUCCAUGUAUAAGUGUGUUAUACAACAUCAGAUCUGUAACCAAACCUAUACCAAGCAUCUUAUUAAAAAGAGCAUUAGCCUCUUCCAUACAACAUGCCCUACAGUACCCAUUAAGAAGGGCACUGCACAUCACAACAUCAGGCUUCAUAUGGUGCUGACUCAUGUAAAACCACACAAGCAAUGCCUCUUCAAAGUUUCCAUCCUUGAGUACCCGCUGAUGAUAUCAGUAAACGUUACAACAUCGGGAGAAAACCCCCUUCUCAUGAGCUCAUCCAGCAUAUCUUUAGCUUCAGUCACAAAUCCUAGAAGGAUAAGACUGUGAAUGAUAGUAUUAUAAGUCACCACAUCAGGAGAUAUACCAGCUGAUUUCAUCAUAUCUAAGAUAGCAAAAGCUUUAUGUAAGUUGCCCUUCUUUCCAUACCCAUUAAUUAAGGUGUUGUACAUAGUAAUAUCAGGUGCCAAACCCACCUUUAUCAUAUUGUUAUAUAAAUGUUCUGCUGUAUACACAUCUCCAGACUUGCAAUAACCAUCAAUCAUAAUGGUGUAGGUAGUAACAGAUGCUUUAAUUCCCCUCUUCAACAUCUUCCCCAAAAAGAUAAGGGCAUUAUUGACAUCCUUCACUUUGCAUAUCCUCCGAUGAUAGUGGUGUGACUACAACAAUUAGGAAGUAAACUCUAUCAUCUCUUGGAAAAUGUUAGACGCUGCAGCCAUGUUACCAUCUGUACACAAUUUGGAAAUGAAGCUGUUGUAGAUGUAAAUAUUAGGGGGAAGACUAAAUAUCUUCAAAAUAUCAAUUGCUUUAUUGGAAUAACCCAUUUUGCAGAGCCCAUAAAUCAGACAACUAACAGAUACCGAAUUAGGGGUGUUACCCAUCUGGCCCAUUUUUAAUAAUAAAGAGGUCGCCUCCUUUAAAAGACUAAUUUUACAGAGGGAAUUAAUCAAUAGUGUAUGCAACUACGUCGGGAUUAAUCCCAUAGUUUUUCAUUUCUAUCAUCAUCUUCCAACCACAUUCAAGAUUGCCUUCUCUACAGUAAUUGUGUAUAAAUAAGCUAAAAAUUGAAGUAUUAACGCACAGUCCCUGGCUUUGAAUCUCUUCCAGAAAAUCCCAUGCCAAGUUCAAUCUGUUUCGAUUGUAAUAAUGCUCUAAUAAGUGAAUUGCAAACCCCUAAAGAUGGAAAGAAAUUAUAAUGUUUCAUUUGACAAGUUAAUUUCAGAGCCAUAUUUGUCAUAUUUUCCUUAACAUAGCAGUCAACAAUCAUGCUAUAUGCAGUUCCCAAAGUGUUUCUCUCAGUAUGGGUUUCAUGAAGGGCUUCCAAAAUCAGUCUCGCUGCAACUAUUUUUUUCAUAGCCUAAAUUCCAACCGUGUGUCUUAAGAAUAAAUUUAAUUCUUCUCAACUUAUCUGCAUCCUCAGCUUUCAGAUGAAAUCCAUACAUGGAAUAAUUCUUGUCAUUUACAAACUGAAAUACAUUAUUCCCACGAAGACCAAGAGAAGUCUUAUCAUGUGAUUCUGUAGAUUCAGCUGAAAUGCAUGUCACUUGGGAGAACAUCCUGACCAUGUUCAUUAUCAUCCACCCCAACACAAUCAUCACAGAAAGAGACCUGAUUGUCCUUGAAAUAUGAGGAACGUAGUUCUAAUAAGGCAAGAGACGAAAAAAUCCUAAAUGGUUUAAUCUUCCUAUCAAAUAUCAGCUUGGAUCCAGAACAACAAGCUUUGAUAACUGAAAUCAAUGCCUUCGUGAAAAGUUAUCCGGAUACUAGCAGGAAUAGAUGCCGUACACCAAGAAAAAUGAAAAAUUGCCAGUGUUAAAAGGGGGAAAUAUAUCUGAGCAUAUGAAAUGGGCCUCGGCACAUAUAAUGUAGAAAUUUGCUCAAAUUAUAAAAUACAAAAGUUAGAGCGCAUUGAGACGGCGGCUCUAUACUUCACAAACUGCUGGCAAGUACUAUUCUGGAAACAAAAACAGAAUCACAAGAUAUUUCAAUGUCUUUUGCUUCACUAAAGCAAUCAUUUUGUCAUUUUGCCUACAGAAAUCCCAAAACAGGAAAUAGUUACUUCUAAAUAGAAAAAUAAGAACAAAGUUGUAGUAAAUUACUUUAAGCCUUAAUAUACAAUAAAAGUUAACAUGGGUUAUCAAUAUACUUGUAUCUUUGAGGCCCAAACAUACAUAAAUAUAUGCAUUCUACAAACUCCAUUUAUAAUUAAAGAAAAAUGACAAAUGGAGUAAUGAUAUGGAAGAGAGAAUUAUACCUCUGACAAUGGAAGGAACCUUGAUAUGCUCCCCAUCGCUUCUGCUGCUGAGAAAAGCAGCAUUUUUCAUGGGACCUUCAUUAUCAAUACUCCUUCUUCUGCGUCAAGAAAAAAACAGCAUUUCGAAAGCAGAUUAUACAGAAGAAAGAUAAUUUUCUGCCCAAAUAGAUGAAAAAAUCAAACUGGCCACAGCAAAAAAAUUUAAAAAACAAAUUGGGAACUGUUUUGGAUUUGGCUGCGCUACCAAAUCAGAGGGAUUUAGGGGUUUUACCGGUGGUGCUAAUGGAAGCAAGAAAGCUGGGUUUUUGUGGGGUUUUGCUGUUGUCAAUCACAAUUAGGAAGAGGUGGGUUUAGGAAUUGGAGGCGUUGAAACCAGCUGUAGUAGCUCUUGACAAAUGAGCGAGAAGACGGCUUAUGCACAAUGACA
rnacentral:lncRNA from 1 species